rnacentral:rRNA from 1 species
AUUGAACGCUGGCGGCAGGCCUAACACAUGCAAGUCGGGCGCGCGGAGGACGGGUGAGUUAUGUAUGGGGAUCUUCCUGAUGGCGCGGGAUAACUCCUGGAAACGGUAGCCAAUACCGCAUACCAUCAGAGGAACCCAUAUGGGAUUGGCUAGUAGGUAAGGUCACGGCUUACCUAGGCGACGAUCCCUAUCUGGUCUGAGAGGAUGCUCCGCCACACGUGGACUGAGACACGGCCCAGACUCCUACGGGAGGCAGCAGUGGGGAAUCUUGCACAAUGGUCGCAAGCCUGAUGCAGCCAUGCCGCGUGUAUGAAGAAGGCCUUCGGGUUGUAAAGUACUUUCAGUCGGGAGGCGUUACCGACAGAAGAAGCACCGGCUAACUCCGUGCCAGCAGCCGCGGUAAUUC